rnacentral:rRNA from 1 species
GUGCCAGCCGCCGCGGUAAUACCGGCAGCCCGAGUGAUGGCCGAUCUUAUUUGGCCUAAAGCGUCCGUAGCUGGCUGCGCAAGUCCGUUGGGAAAUCGACGCGCUCAACGCGUCGGCGUCCGGCGGAAACUGAACGGCUUGGGGCCAGAAGACCUGAGGGGUACGUCCGGGGUAGGAGUGAAAUCCCGUAAUCCUGGACGGACCACCGGUGGCGAAAGCGCCUCAGGAAGAUGGACCCGACGGUGAGGGACGAAAGCUAGGGUCUCGAACCGGAUUAGAAACCCUGGUAGUCC